GACGAACGCUGGCGGCGUGCUUAACACAUGCAAGUCGAACGGAAAGGCCCUGCUUUUGUGGGGUGCUCGAGUGGCGAACGGGUGAGUAACACGUGAGUAACCUGCCCUUGACUUUGGGAUAACUUCAGGAAACUGGGGCUAAUACCGGAUAGGAGCUCCUGCUGCAUGGUGGGGGUUGGAAAGUUUCGGCGGUUGGGGAUGGACUCGCGGCUUAUCAGCUUGUUGGUGGGGUAGUGGCUUACCAAGGCUUCGACGGGUAGCCGGCCUGAGAGGGUGACCGGCCACAUUGGGACUGUGAUACGGCCCAGACUCCUACGGGAGGCAGCAGUGGGGAAUAUUGCACAAUGGGCGGAAGCCUGAUGCAGCAACGCCGCGUGCGGGAUGACGGCCUUCGGGUUGUAAACCGCUUUCGCCUGUGACGAAGCGUGAGUGACGGUAAUGGGUAAAGAAGCACCGGCUAACUACGUG
rnacentral:rRNA from 1 species